CUUGGAGGUUGUGCCCUUGAGGCGUGGCUUCCGGAGCUAACGCGUUAAGUCGACCGCCUGGGGAGUACGGCCGCAAGGUUAAAACUCAAAUGAAUUGACGGGGGCCCGCACAAGCGGUGGAGCAUGUGGUUUAAUUCGAUGCAACGCGAAGAACCUUACCUACUCUUGACAUCCAGAGAACUUUCCAGAGAUGGAUUGGUGCCUUCGGGAACUCUGAGACAGGUGCUGCAUGGCUGUCGUCAGCUCGUGUUGUGAAAUGUUGGGUUAAGUCCCGCAACGAGCGCAACCCUUAUCCUUUGUUGCCAGCGGUUCGGCCGGGAACUCAAAGGAGACUGCCAGUGAUAAACUGGAGGAAGGUGGGGAUGACGUCAAGUCAUCAUGGCCCUUACGAGUAGGGCUACACACGUGCUACAAUGGCGCAUACAAAGAGAAGCGACCUCGCGAGAGCAAGCGGACCUCAUAAAGUGCGUCGUAGUCCGGAUUGGAGUCUGCAACUCGACUCCAUGAAGUCGGAAUCGCUAGUAAUCGUAGAUCAGAAUGCUACGGUGAAUACGUUCCCGGGCCUUGCACUCCCCGCCCCGUCAAAA
rnacentral:rRNA from 1 species